rnacentral:pre_miRNA from 1 species
UUAGCUCAUAUUUGCAUGCAAUGGGAUCGUUUGCCUACGUUUUCCGCUAGGGGCGCUGUUCCAACUGCAUUCAAAAUUGGGUUA